rnacentral:rRNA from 1 species
CAUAUUGGACAAUGGGGGCAACCCUGAUCCAGCCAUGCCGCCUGUGUGCAGAAGGUCUUCGGAUUUUAAAGCACUUUUAGUUCGGCGGAAGGGCUUUCGGCCACUACUCUUACGUUUUGACGUUACCAACAGAAUAAGCACCUGCUAACUCUGUGCCAGCAGCCGCGGUAAUACAGAGGGUGCAAGCGUUAAUCGGAAUUACUGGGCGUAAAGCGCGGGUAGGUGGGUCAGUAAGAUGGGUGUGAAAUCCCCGGGCUUAACCUGGGAACUGCUUUCAUAACUGCUGAGCUAGAGUACGGUAGAGGGUAGUGGAAUGUCCUGGGUAGCGGUGAAAUGCGUAGAUAUAGGAAGGAACACCAGUGGCGAAGGCGACUACCUGGACUGAUACUGACACUGAGGUGCGAAAGCGUGGGGAGCAAAC